UACGUAGGUGGCAAGCGUUGUUCGGAAUUAUUGGGCGUAAAGGGCGCGUAGGCGGUUUGUUAAGUCGGCUGUGAAAGCCCGGGGCUCAACCCCGGAGGGUCGGCCGAUACUGGCAAGCUAGAGUACAGAAGAGGUAGCUGGAAUUCCCGGUGUAGCGGUGAAAUGCGUAGAGAUCGGGAGGAAGGCCGGUGGCGAAGGCGGCGCUCUGGAACAUUUCUGACGCUGAGGCUCGAAAGCGUGGGGAGCAAACAGG
rnacentral:rRNA from 1 species